UCGCUUUUUUGUAGGCUGGGGCAAAGUGCUGGGGGUGCAGUAAAUAAAGGGGGUGAAGAGGAUGUGGGACUCGUGGUAAUUAAGAGGAGGGGAACGGCAAGUCAGUUCAUUUCUUCCUUCUCUCUCUAUUCUUCUCUGUCAAAUCUGAAGAUCUGCAGCGGAACGAAGAAAUCGAUGUGCUCCUCCACGGCCAGCGAGAGAACAGGCGGUGCUGCUGAUGGAAUAAGAGAUGGUUUGCACAGUUUGUCUGAGCCCUUGUUGACCGCGAGAGCAGGGGAAGCGGCAUCAGUAUGUAUGUCUGGAAGGAGUUCAAGAAGGGAGGGGGUUGUUACAUGCAAUGAAAGGGUUUGUUCCGACAACCUGACGGGAGAUAGGUUGACAUUCAAGGCAAACAAACAUACAUACACUGUGAAGUGUCACAAGGGGCGCAAGCAGAGUGCAUUGUAUGGGAGAGGGUGGAGAAAGUUUGUUGCACACAACAAGCUGGGGAAGGGUCAGAUGGUUUUGUUCUACUUGGACCAACAUUCACCAAGGGCGGUUGUUUGCGUGGUCUAGUUUGGAAACACUGAAGAUGUUAGGGGGAGGAUCAAGAAUGGUGUGCCCAGUUUACCACGCAUACUGCCAAAAUGAAAAUGGUCGGAGAUUCGACAUCUAUGUCUGUGAUGCCAACGGAAUCUUUCCCGCUCUCAUGGAUGCCCACAAGCAGAUUGCACGCAAGAUAGAAACUAAAACCGAGGCCUCCUUGAAAGAAGGAGCAGUUGUUAUGAGUCUUAUCAUCAAUUCUUAUUUUCACACGGGAUCCUAGAGAAGGCUAAAGCUGAAACAAGAGAUUGGCUUAACAGUGUGAUGACCCAACUUUAUACUAACUUUAGUAGAAAGUUGGGUCAUCAAUUUUGGAACGGAGGGAGUACAUUUUUAUGAAUACAGCCACACACAGGUACAAAUAUUGAAGACGAAGACAGAGAGCAGGGUCUUGAAGAUACAAAUUUAGAAGAGAGAGAUCACUGACACUGAAGUAUCAGAGGGUUUGCUGUAUGAAGAAGUUGUGACGUUGUAUGAAGCAUUAGAGAAGGAACCAAGACCUGGCAGAGUUGUUUAGCUACACAAAUGGGCCUUACAUUUUUCUGCUGUCUUUU